rnacentral:misc_RNA from 1 species
AUGCUAUUCUCCAUGAUUGGAUCAGGCACACUGAUGGAAAGUUGAGUUUCCUUGGAUUUGUAAAAUUGUUGCAUGGUGUUUCUAGCCGGAACCUUGCAAAAGCUCAAUAGAAGUUUAUAAACUAAUGCAGAAGCUCCAAAAGACUUGGUGGAUGCCUCAAGCUGUGUAUUGACCAAUGAAAAACAGAGAGAGAGGCACUUUAAGAGCGAUUCUCAGGCCUGAAAAUUAAGUUACAAUUUACUGCCACUGUAACCAUGGUGCAGUAAAUUGAGUUUGGACAAGUUUCCUCUGUGGCACAACCUUGUAUACUCUCAAGGGCCAUCGUGCUCUACUUGUUGUGAUGAAAAGCUUUAGGUAUUUAUGACAACAAGUAGAGCACGAUGGCCCUUGAG